GAAUAAAGUAGUUAUUUUUGUUUUCUUCAAAACAGAUAAAACUGAAACACUCUCUUGCUUUAGACUCUCAUAUCUGUCCAUGAUGUCAUAUUCUGUCAUGUGGUGAGUUAUCUAAGUGGCAGAUGUCAAUGAUUUGUUUCCAAGCCAAGACAGAGGUCUUGACCAAUGUGAUCUCUGUGGAAUUUAAUCUCAGAGCUUAAUGACUGACAAUCAUCUUGCCCAUGAUUAUCCAAAUGUGUUACUUACAGCUGUGACAUGAAAUUCAAUUAGGUUUGAAAUACUGUGAACUAAUGAUAUAGUAGUGGUACACAAACAAAAUUAGGGACAAAAAACUCCUUUUGUUCGCCCUUUACUUCCUUUUUUACUUCUGCAUUAUACUGAAGUCUCCUUCACAAGUAACAGGCCCUGCACUUGUGGUUACUCUCCAAUAAUGAUUUAAAAGUCAGCUCAUGUUUCUCUGUUGCAACAACUGUUUUCUGCAGAACAAUGAGGACACACGUUGCCUCCCCCAGCCCCAUGUUCUUCUUUUAAGAGCAUGAGACAGAAACAGGUUUACUGUUAAAUGCUGUUAAUUUACUGCAAGUGCUUAAUUUACAGAUAAUCAACUGUAAAUUUACAUGAUUUAACUUUAGUGAAAUAGCAAGGAAAUUUGAUGGAGGAAAUUUUAAGAAAAUAGGUCCUAUUUUCACAGCAAUUGUUUAUGCAGUUUACCAUGAUCAAUAGUGCAACACAUACAGCUGACAAUAAUUCUACUAUUUAUUUAAAACUGAGAAUCCGCAAUACCGCAAUAGAUCAGUUCUUAAAAUAAAUGACACCUCAACAUUUCAGCUUAAUCAUAGAGGAAGUGACUUUUAACACAGUUUUUUUUUUUACUGUGCUUCAAAGCAAUUAGGGUGAGACCUCAUUGUUGCUGCCAGAUGAUGCUGGUUAGUACUGAGUCUACUUAGGAUAAGAUAUGACAGCAAAAGAGAUCUGUGAUUAUUUUGGCUACUGGCCUCGCUACUUCUUGUUCUGUGUCUGGGUCAUCGACAUCGCCAUGAUAUUUUUGGUUUAUCACUUGGAAACAUGUUUGAAAGAAAUAACAGAAAAAUUCCAAAGGGACAAACGUCAAGAAGAGGACUAUAUCAACUACAGAACGAGUGGAUUUAUGUGAGAGCAAACCAGCUGAAGCAAUCAUUGAACAAUUAAUGUAAAAUUACUUGCAUACAAAUAUAGCAGUACAAAGAAAGAACUGAAUUCAUGUAAUGGAGCAUCUUAAUAUAGACCUAUUUCAUUCAAAUGCAUAAUUUUUGUGUGGAAAUCUGAGGAAAUUUAAAAUAAGUACUGACGAAUCAUUACUUUUUUUUUCUUGCAGUCUUAACAUUUGUAUACUUUUGAGUACUAAAUGUCCCCAACACUUGGAAUUUCAUCAAUGUGUUGCAAUAAAAGAUGCAUUUUGACCAGGAUCUCUGCUGGCUAAAUGGGUGUCCUAAGCAGGAUUGUAUUGUUGUGACCCCUACCUCAAAUAUUAUUGAAGUAAGAAAUCAAAAAUACUACAGAGGUCAAUUAAAAAAUAAAUAUAUAAAAUUAGCAAUUACCAGGCCUUUAGCUCCCUUUGUGAGCAUUUUUAAUUACAUACAUACACAAAAAACAAUAGACACCAUCACAAAAUGUGUUAUGCAUUUAAUGGUUAAAAGUUGAUGGUGUGUAAUGUUUGUAAUGGUAUUUGUGAUCUAUAUGGUUAUAUUGUUUUUUUCAGCAGGGUUGCCUCAUUGUUUUAUAUAAUGCACUUUAAGUCAUUUUAAAAGCAGUUGUUGACUUAGGUUUUAUUUAAUAACCACAAAAAAACAUUAUCUUAAAUACUUCAUUAUAAAUUAUUAUUUGAAGUAACAAAGCCACGGUUAAUUUGCCGUUACAAUGACCAAAGGGCAACAACAUGCAUGACAAGAUGCUUCAGUUCACAUCCACACCGAAGUAAAUGCACAAGAAGAGCCAUGAUCAAAGCAUGUAUAUUCAGCAGACACAAAUGUUGUGUGGCAUCCCUGAAUAUUUCUGUAAUCACUGUUGAAAGACCAGUGGUUUUAGAAGCUUACGAUCAACACCAAGGUGGUUUCCAGAGCACGUG